ensembl:lncRNA
AACGGCCCCGCCGCUCCUUUCCAGCGCCGGCUGUGGCACGCGUCGGCUGUCAGCUCAAAUCCCGGCAUCGACGUGGUUAUGUUGCCGGUGGUUACGACGCUGCUUUGUCCGUAGGCUUUUAGAACCAACGGUGCAGGUGGCAUUUUCCUCGUACGAUUGUACCAAGAGGUCGAGCUGCAACGUACACGGGCAGUUAAGGAAACAAAGCCUUUCGGUCACCACCUUGUUGCGAAAGUCCUCAGCACUCCGUAAGCAAACCAGCAGAUCCAUAUGUAGUGGCUGGAAUUCAUCGUGCCGCUGUAUGGAGGCACUGGAUGCUGAAGAAGCAUCUGACUUCGGGAGCUCUCCCCAUAGAGAGGCAAUCAGGAUUGAAAUCAAACAACUGAAGCUGACCUGUCAGUGAUUCCCCCACACGAAACUCCGCAUCCCUGUGACAGCAAAAAUACAAAGGGCCAAUGGCAAAUGUGUUAGUCCACCCCUGGAACCACCCUUGGGAUGCAGGCCACCGGACCUGCCAUGUGGCUUCUGAUUCUGUGCAAAAGGUGCUUCUAUUUCCAGCCAUUUAGAAACAUAUCAGAAUGUGGCCAAGCAAGUCUGUUGGCUUCCGUUUUGCUCUCCAAUCAAAUUUUGCAUACAAUUUAGAGGAACAGGAAUUCUUUCCGCUGGUCUUGAAGGUUCAACCCAUGUUUACUAAAAUAACCAUUCACAAUAAUACAAUGGAGGUGCCUACCAGUACUAAACCAAACACCUGGGCCGAACCUGUGGCAAAGAAGGCUCCACAGAAUCAGGUUGGGAAAGACCUCUAAGAUCAUCUAGCCCAAUCAUCAGCC